rnacentral:rRNA from 1 species
CCCCUAGAUGUCCUGGGCCGCACGCGCAAUACAAUGUAAAGUUCAGAAAGCAUAUCCUGUUCCGGAAGGCAAUGGGUAAUCUUUUCAAUAUUUUACGUGUUAGGGAUCGAUCUUUGCAAUUAUAGAUCUUGAACGAGGAAUACCUAGUAAGUGCAGCCCAUCAGGCUGUACUGAUUACGUCCCUGCCCUUUGUACACACCGCCCGUCGCUCCUACCGAUUUCGAGUGGUCCGGUGAAUCUUUUGGAAUUAGAGUGCAAACUCAAACUAAGAUCGAUAAACCUUAUCACUUAGAGGAAGGAGAAGUCGUAACA